UGCAAGUCGAACGAUGAGAGGGAGCUUGCUCCCUGGAUUAGUGGCGAACGGGUGAGUAACACGUGAGUAACCUGCCCUUGACUCUGGGAUAAGCACUGGAAACGGUGUCUAAUACCGGAUACGAACUUCAGCCGCAUGGCUAGGAGUUGGAAAGAAUUUCGGUCAAGGAUGGACUCGCGGCCUAUCAGCUAGUUGGUGAGGUAAUGGCCCACCAAGGCGACGACGGGUAGCCGGCCUGAGAGGGUGACCGGCCACACUGGGACUGAGACACGGCCCAGACUCCUACGGGAGGCAGCAGUGGGGAAUAUUGCACAAUGGGCGCAAGCCUGAUGCAGCAACGCCGCGUGAGGGACGACGGCCUUCGGGUUGUAAACCUCUUUUAGUAGGGAAGAAGCGAAGUGUUUUACAUGGAGUGACGGUACCUGCAGAAAAAGCACCGGCUAACUACGUGCCAGCAGCCGCGGUAAUACGUAGGGUGCAAGCGUUAUCCGGAAUUAUUGGGCGUAAAGAGCUCGUAGGCGGUUUGUCGCGUCUGCUGUGAAAACUGGGGGCUCAACCCCCAGCCUGCAGUGGGUACGGGCAGACUAGAGUGCGGUAGGGGAGAUUGGAAUUCCUGGUGUAGCGGUGGAAUGCGCAGAUAUCAGGAGGAACACCAAUGGCGAAGGCAGAUCUCUGGGCCGUAACUGACGCUGAGGAGCGAAAGCAUGGG
rnacentral:rRNA from 1 species